GCCUCUCCUCCCCGGCCGGGCCCUCUCUAUGCAGCCCCGGUCCGGUUCGCUUCCCCGGGCCCUUUCCCCGGCGGCACAGCAGUGGGGGCGGCCGCGGGGUCAGCAGAGCCGGCCCCCGGGGGGGGCAGCCUGGGUUCAGCUCCGGCUCCAGCUCCGGGCAGGGCCCCAUCCCCCGGCCGAGGGCUAAGCACAACAUGUGGCUCCAGCUGAGGGACUCCGGUUUCCGCACGCCAUUAGUGCGGGAGGAAUUCCUCCGCAGGCAUGCACGCACGGAACGAGGCGAAGCCGCAUGGGGGUUUUUCGAGGCUCCCGCGGAAGAAAAGCUGCAUCAAGCAACGGGAAAGGCACAGGGCCCCUUCCUAGCAGAGCCCAGGGCAGGAAACCAUGUGAGGAAUUGUUCGUGGGGUGCCAGGAGUGACUGCAAGCCGAGGCUGGGGGGAGCACAGAGUCUGGGGGUGCCAGGACGCCCCAGCCCAUGCUGCCAGCAGCUGCCCGGGCUCAGACAUGCCGUGGUGGGUGGCUCCUGCCCACGAGAUGGAAAGCAGAGGGCAGGAGGAGGCCUGGCCUGCAGCAGGCGUUCAGGGGAUCCAGCACACCCGAGGGCUUUGGAGUACUCUGAGCUUUUACUCCGCUGCAAAAACCCUGCAGUGUUACCUCCCUCCCAGCCUCAGCCAGCAGGCACUGCACCCCCUCCAGUGCUACAGCUCUACCUCGGCUCACAUCUUCUCACAUCUCUCUGCUUUCAUCCCUAUUUUUGAAGUAAACAGACUACUGCAACUGAGUGCCUCCUGUUUGUGUUCCCACUUUAUCCUUGCAAUGCAGGGACAGAGCUGCGCAGCUGUAGGUGAGGCACUGGCUCGGGGGAUCAGUCUGCAAAGCACCUGCUCCCUUUGGCCCCAAGAGCAAAGCCAUGACCAUUACUUACAAGUUAAAACUUCCAGACCCUAAGAAGUGCAGUGAGGAAUCUAUCUCACUCUCCUUGUGAGAUCACCUAAAAACGCAUCCAUCUUCCCUGUUACUCAAAAGCCAUCCUUCAAGUCAACAAAGCUAGAAAAUACCUUUGAUUUCUCUGCCUCUCAGGAAUAAUCUUUACAGACAGCACAGAGAUCCUAAACAUGUUAGUAUCUGAAUGACCCAGGCUGCAGCUGAAGAGUCACUGCUAUAAACACAAGGAAAUUGUUUUCAGUUACACUAAGAAUAUAUAAAUUGGGUUCUGCUGCUGGACAGGACAAGUUUGGGUUAAGUCCAAAAAAGCCAUGAACAAAUUCUGAGACUGGUCUGAGAUUCCCACUGAAGCAGAGUCAAAACAAAGUGACUAAACCAAAGCCCUGGAUAUGCCCAAACUCAGCUGCUCUUAUUUCACUCUUUAUUUUGACAUCAUGCAAAGAAAUCACCAAUAGAGUAAAGAAUUCCACAAAGAUGUCUUGGGAAAAAAAAAUCCAGUAGAAUGAGGAAAACAACUCAUAUCCUAAAAGGAAUGGCUCCAAGCACAAACCAUCUCAUCCCAGGGUUUCUUUCUCAAGAAAACAGAAUUCCCAAGCCUGAAAAUGCUUACUCCUUGUGUUUCACCACUGGUAGCCCCCCCAGGUGCUUUAAGGGUAACCUCUCAUCCAGACAGAGCUAAGCACAUUCCCAAGCUGAAGGUCUCUCAACUCAUUCUUGAAGAGCAAAGACUAUGAUUUAAGGAACCAAAGCUCUUCUGAACAAAACCUUGCAGUGUGGUUUUGUGUUCUGCAGCAGAAAUAAAAGGUGCUGAUGUGCUUUAGCAGUGUGCAAUGCAUUUGUUUGCCAGGCAGCUGAAAUGGUCAGGUGGAAGAGGUAGCAAGAGUUUACAAAAUGCUGAGCAGCAAUGAAUAGAACAAUAAAUAAUUGCUGUUAAAAGCUAAAUUCAGGGUGACUGCCUCUUUUCUCUUGAGGAACAGAUGUUUGUUUUCCACUGGCAGGCCCUUCACUGGCCCUUGAUGCAGAAAUUUGGUGUUUGGACAAAACAAAAUCUGGGUCUGGGCUGUAACAGUCCCAGCGCUUUGCUUCCCACCCAGCAGCCCUUGGAGCUCUUCACACAGAUUCAC